rnacentral:rRNA from 1 species
GCCUACCAUGGUGGUAACGGGUAACGGGGUGUUAGGGCACGACACCGUAGAGGGAGCCUGAGAAACGGCUACCACAUCCAAGGAUGGCAGCAGGCGCGCAAAUUACCCAAUCCCGACACGGGGAGGUAGUGACAAUAAAUAACAAUACGGGGUUCUUUAGGAUCUCGUAAUUGGAAUGAGUACAAUUUAAAUCUCUUAACGAGGAACAAUUGGAGGGCAAGUCUGGUGCCAGCAGCCGCGGUAAUUCCAGCUCCAAUAGCGUAUAUUAAAGUUGUUGCAGUUAAAAAGCUCGUAGUUGAAUUUCGGGAUCAGAUUGUCGGUCGUGCCUCGGUACGCACUGGCAUUAUUGGUUCCUACCUUCUGAAGAACCGCGAUGUCAUUAAUUUGGUGUCGUGGGGAAUCAGGACUGUUACUUUGAAAAAAUUAGAGUGUUUAAAGCAGGCGCACGCUUGAAUACAUUAGCAUGGAAUAAUAAAAUAGGACGUUUGAUUCUAUUUUGUUGGUUUCUAGGAUCGACGUAAUGAUUAAUAGGGAUAGUUGGGGGCAUUAGUAUUCAAUUGUCAGAGGUGAAAUUCUUGGAUUUAUUGAAGACUAACUACUGCGAAAGCAUUUGCCAAGGAUGUUUUCAUUAAUCAAGAACGAAAGUUAGGGGAUCGAAGACGAUCAGAUACCGUCGUAGUCUUAACCAUAAACUAUGCCGACUAGGGAUCGGAUGAUGUUAAUUUUUUAAUGACUCAUUCGGCGCCUUACGGGAAACC